UCGCACAUCGGCAACAACAGUGUCACAACACAUAAAAAUAAGAAAUUGAGAUAAGUAUCCCUUAAAAAGGGCAAACACAAACUUUAUCGGCUAAAAAAACGUCAUAAUUAUUGUGCUAUUCCUCGCCGAGAGAUGGCAUUUAAUACCCUUUUUCACUGAGCCACUUUCCUACCUUUGGCGGCGUAAACAAUGUCACAUCAAAGUUGAUACGGAGCGGACGUGCUUCUUGUGUGUGUAGUACAGACAUAACCUGCGUAACGACCCUAUUACGUAGGAUAUAAUGAAGAGGAAUUCAAGGAACAAGUUCAUGAUAGAUUUAGUUUUACACAAUGACACUCCAGAAGUAUCCGUUGGCAUAGAUGAAUCUGAAGCGUAUAGAGAAAAUCUCAAUAAUACCAAUAAACUGAAUCUACAAGUUUUAAACAAUUUAGUCUACAACAUAAUAAUUUAGAUAAAGUAGUACGCAAAGAUUUUAUUAAGGAUUAAUUACAUUAUUAAGGGUGGUGAGUGUAAGUAUAGAUUAGAAUGAAGACGAUUUUAUCGCAAAUAGUGUCUAUAGCGUUUAUUAUUGAUCUAGGUAUGCUAAGAAGAAGAUUUGUUUGUAAUAGCCAGGAAGAAAUAACUGAUAUACAAAACGAAAAUUCAUAGAAGGUGGUAAGACAGCUGCAGACUAGAGAGACUAUAAAAAGGAUUGUGAAUCAAAACAGCAACCUUACGCUAAUGAGACAAUGUAUUAGAAUCUUUAAAAAAACUUAAACAUAAGUUUUGUUGCGACAAAGAAAGACCGCUGUGAACUUUGCACAAAUUAUGAAAUUGCCGAAGGUAGUGCAAAAGAAAACUUAAAGCUGAAAUAUUGAAAACAUAUAGAAGAAAAGGGACGUGAUAAAGGAAAUAUCUAUUCUAUUUUGUAGUAGGUGUAUAUGACUUACAAGCUGUUUUGCAGCUACCUCGUGAAAACACCUCAAUUUUUAUUAUAAAUCAAAAUUAAGUUAUUUUAACUUAACGAUUUCACAAUUGAGUACUGAUAGAAACGAAUGUUAUUUCUGGCAUGAAGGGGAAGCUAAUCGUGGGUCCGAUGAAAUCGUGCGUACUAUAAAACAUUGGAAGCAAAACUACGUCUUAUGAUGGUCCAGGUAAUUGCAGUAGCCAAAACAAAAACAGAUUUAUUUUAUCGUUAUAUUAGUUUUUCCUGUGUAAGUAUUAAAAGUAUAUCUCAAGUUUCUGAUAACCGGACAUACACAAAAUGAAGGUGAUGCUGUCCAUUCUACCAUUUAAAAACAUACCGAAAAGGUUAAAAUCUGGGCCUAUUUACGUGCCAAACCAGUACGCUGAAGUGAUCAGGUCAGCGAAGAAAAAAGGAAGACCGUACAACUUGACUAAAAUUCCUGAAUUCCAGCGAUUUUUGUCGUUAAAAACUUUAUCGCAAAAUAUACGCCAUUUUGAUGUUGUAUGAAUAGUUUUAAUAUCUUACUUGUUUCUUAUAUAACUGGUAAUAACUACCUACAAAGAUAUUGUUAAAUAUUAUUUGAUUUACUUAUAAAAAAACAAUAAAAAGUAUUAACAAAUAAAAGUGUUUCAUUUUAUGAAAUUUUUGAUAUUUUUUUCUGAAAAAGUGACACAUUAGAGGAAUUUAAAAGUAAAAAAUAAAUAUAAAAUAGAACAAAUAUCUUUAGAUUUUAAUUUACAUAAAAACCUAAUAGAGCAUUAAAUAAUCUUCUUAAAUAUAUCAUAAGUUCUCCGAUAUGCUUUUCCAGCAAAAAAUAAAUGGAGUUCUAAAUUUAAAAAAUAAAUAAAUCGUCAUUUCCCAAAAACUACAUUUAUUCUGUUGUGACACUCUCGUUGCCGAUGUGCGAUAUA